GCUGAGGUGGCGGAGUGGUUAACGCGCCAGCCUGGAGAGCUGGUCCUCGCAAGAGGUCGCAGGUUCGAAUCCUGCCCUCAGCG
rnacentral:tRNA from 1 species